rnacentral:rRNA from 1 species
UACGAAGGGUGCAAACGUUGCUCGGAAUUAUUGGGCGUAAAGCGCACGUAGGCGGCUUAGCAAGUUGGAUGUGAAAGCCCUCGGCUUAACCAAGGAAGUGCAUCCAAAACUGCUGAGCUUGAGUAGUUAAGAGGAUCGCGGAAUUCCCGGUGUGGAGGUGAAAUUCGUAGAUAUCGGGAGGAACACCAGUGGCGAAGGCGGCGACCUGGGUAGAUACUGACGCUGAGGUGCGAAAGCGUGGGGAGCAAACAGG